AACAGCGAACUGUUUAUCAUGAAUACAGAAUGUGGGCAAACUCGCUUCUGUGCCGGCCGCCAGAAGGUUUGCUGAGGGCAAUCACUCCCUGGUGCCGGGCUCCUUGAGGUUAUGCACUGGGACAUCUAGAGCCUAUUGUUUGAGGAAUGCAGUCUUGCAAGCCUGCUCUGGAUCAAGCCACAGACUGAAACACCCCCGAAGAGCAAGCACGUUUCUUGGAGCAGGCUAAGUGUGAGUGUCAUAUCUUCAAUGGGAUGAAGCGGGUGCAGUACCUGAACAGAUACAUCCAUAAACGGGAGGAGAACCUGCGCUUCGACAGCAACGUGGAGGAGUUCCAGGCAGUUACGGAACUGGGGCGGCCUGUCGCAGAGAACUGGAACAGCCAGAAGGGCAUCCCGGAGGAGAAGCGGGACAAGAUGGACGACUACUGCAGAUACAAUUACGGGGUUUUUUGAGAGCUUCACAGUGCAGCCGCGAGUCCAUCCUAAGGUGACUGUGUAUCCUGCAAAGACCCAGCCCCUGCAUCACCGCAACCCCCUGGUCGGCUCUGUGAGUGGUUUCUAUCCAGGCAGCAUUAAAGUCAGGUGGUUCCAGAAUGGUCAGGAAGAGAAGGCUGCGGUGGUCUCCAUAGGCCUGAUCCAGAAUGGAGAUUGGACCUUCCAGACCCUGGUGAUGCUGGAAACAGUUCCUCGGAGUGGAGAGGUUUACACCUGCCAAGUGGAGCAUCCAAGCGUGACGAGCCCUCUCACAGUGGAAUGGAGUGAGCAGCUUUCUGACUUCAUAAAUUUCUCAACCACCAAGAAGGGGACUGUGCUAAUCCCUGAGCGUCAGGUACACGGACUGAAUCUGCACAGAGCAAGAUGCUGAGUGGAGUCGGGGGCUUUGUGCUGGGCCUGCUCUUCCUUGGGACAGGGCUGUUCAUCUACUUCAGGAAUCAGAAAGGACACUCUGGACUUCAGCCAACAGGACUCCUGCGCUGGACUCCUGAGCUGAAGUGCACAUGACCACAUUCAAGGAAGAACCUUCUGCCACAGCUUUGCAGGAUGAAAAGCUUUCCCACUUGGCUCUUAUUCUUCCACAAGAGCUCUCU
ensembl:lncRNA HLA-DRB6 major histocompatibility complex, class II, DR beta 6 (pseudogene)